rnacentral:misc_RNA from 1 species
CCGAAGUUACCCUUCAAAAACCCUUUGUGAACCUUACCUCUUGCCGCGUUGCCUCGGCGGGAGGCGGUGGGAACGUCGCGCUCGCGCCCCUAACAGGGCCGUGCCGCCGCCCCGCCGUCCCCGCCGGCAGCGCCAAAACUCUAUUUGCACAGCGGACUGUAUGUUCUGAUUUAUAAAAAAAACAAGUUA